ensembl:lncRNA
AUCUCCAACUGGAGAUCCUUCCUCUUGGAGCCCUUCUGUGAGCCCAGGACAUAAGGACAAGUGAAUAGAAACUUAUAAACAAGGAGAAAAUGCUUCAAUUCUUGCUUUCCUCAGGUCACCAAAUUAUAUGCAGUUUCCAAACAUAUCAUUUUCCUUCUCCUGAAUUGACCUGCCAGUAAGCAGCUUGGCAGUUUACUGAGACCAACAAAAGCUGCCUGCAUCUUAAUAAGAGAAUCACCAGAUCCCAAGAAAGGACAAACCAUUCCAUACUAUCAGAUAUGAUACAAAUUUCUCAAAUGAAAAAGUUUUAAAACAUUGCAGUUCUCCUCUUCAUUGCUGGCGGAGACCCAACAGUCGAACCAAUACUGUGAUAACUUUGACUGAAGUUCCUGCCAAGGAGAUUAUGAAGUGCACUUUGGGACCUGAGCUGAAACAAUGCCCAUCCCAUGAAUCCAAAGAAGCAGAUGAAAGCAGAGGACCUGUACGCACACUAAAGCUACAGUUUACUAUGAAGAAACUGCUCAGUCUCCCACAGUCAUAGAACCAUUGGAGUUUGGAGGGGACCUUCAAAGAUCUUCUAGUCCAACUCCUCUGCAAUGAACAGGGACACCUACAGCUUGAUCAGUUUGCUCAGAGUCCUGUCCAACCUGACCUUGAAUGUCUCCAAGGACAAAGCAUCCACCACUUCUCUGGGCAACAUCACUACCCUUACUGUAAAAACGUUUUUCUUAUAUCCAAUCCAAUGACAAAAUCAUUGACAAAGUAUCUUGCCGCUACAUGUGUAUAGGGACACAUAAAAUCUCAAGUAACAUAUGAAACAUUGUUUGUGGAAAAUAUAAUCAUCCAUCACCUAAAGGUCUACUUUUUGGCGCACUUAGAACCAACAACUCUUGCAUCUUACUCUAGUCAGCUUCAAUGCAUUUGCAGUUGCAGACACAUAAGACUGUGCCUCUGUCCUAGUAAAGAUCAAGAGUAAACAACAAUAAUAAGUGAUAACAAACCCUGGAAUCGCAGGCAUCAGCCGAGUGCAGCUUCUUUCUCCCAGCCAGGAGUCUGUUCAUGUGUGUUCAAGGUCAGCUCUGAUACAGUGCAACAGUGAACAAACUUGUAUGAGAAAGAAUUAUGAGCAGUCAUAGAAUCAUAAAAUCAUAGGCAUCAUCAUAGUCAUCUAGGGUCUGGGAGCUGCUUUUAGGCACAGGUUCCUACCACUGGUCCCUUAAGCCAUGUUGCAUUUAUAGCUGCACACAGAUGUCUAUCUUGAUUACUUGAGUUAGAUUUGUACUCCACUGUGUUUCUCUACAUUAUCUUCCUGGGUUUUGGCUACCAUGAUGAAAUAAGUCUUUGCAAAAAAGUUCAUCUCACAAAGGAACCCCUACUGGGAAUUUCCUUCCCAGUGCAGUUCUUUAGGAAGUCUAGUUUUUCAGUGAACGGAGUUUGAGUACAUGGACAUCUACUGGAGUUACAACAUCAUGUAAUGGAUGCAGUUCAGUGUCGCUUGGGCGUAAAAUUUACAACUUUGUACGAUCAGAUAAGGAUUCAUUUUUACAGGAGGCCUCUUUUUAUGCUAUUUUUGACUGUGAAAUUAAGUUAUAAAAUAGAAUCAGAACUCCAUCUUAUUAGAAGCUAUACAGCAUUCUUAUCCUGAAGGAGUCACAGUUGUGUUUGGAUGAAUCUUUGACUUUGAAAAGGACACAGCAGUUAUUUUGUGGUUCCAAGUGAAAAUUUUCUCGAUCUUAUCAUUGAAUGAGAAAUAGUAAAAAUUUGUAAUGCAGAAAAUGCUGCUAUAAUUAUAUGAGCUAUAAUUUAGAACCAGAACAAUAUAUAAUCACAUAAACCUGUGGAAGAAGAAUUUUCUGACAAACGUCUCAUUUCAUCAAAUAAAGAAAUUAAGG